UACGGGGGGAGCAAGCGUUGUUCGGAUUUACUGGGCGUAAAGGGCGCGUAGGCGGCCAGCGCAAGUCAGUUGUGAAAUCUCCGAGCUUAACUCGGAAAGGUCAACUGAUACUGCGCGGCUAGAGUGCAGAAGGGGCAACUGGAAUUCUCGGUGUAGCGGUGAAAUGCGUAGAUAUCGAGAGGAACACCUGCGGCGAAGGCGGGUUGCUGGGCUGACACUGACGCUGAUGCGCGAAAGCCAGGGGAGCGAACGGG
rnacentral:rRNA from 1 species